UCAGUUUGUACAGGGGUCAAAAGUUAUAGUUGCUCCAAUUUUGGUAAAAAAUGUGAUGUAAAUUAUUGGUUGUGCUAAAAGGAUUAAUAAAUGGAAUAGUUUUGACUGAGUUGAAUUUUUAGUCUCCAAAAUAAAGACCAAACGAAGUUGACAUCCAUUGGAUUCUAUGAUAUGUGACAUUAUACCCCGAAACGUAACUAAG